UGGCAGAUGCGAAUGUAAGCUUGAUGGCAUCAUUUUCAUAUAACUGCUUGAAAUGCAUAUAUGCCACUAUCAGCAUUGAGCGUCUCGUGAACUGUCAAAUGUCAUAUAGGCCUCACACAGUUGAAAAUAGUGAAAAAAGUAAUCGGUUGACAGGUCUGCAUCUCGUAAGAUAUCGGAAGCCGUCUGACUUGGCCACAUCGCUCGGAAGUCCGAAGUACUAGAAAAAACCGCCAUCUGCUACCUUAAGGUAGCAGUUGGUAGUUUCCAGCCACAGAUUCGAAUUGGCCAGGGUCAAAAUCUGUCAUUAGAGAUAAGACCUUGAAGUGAAGGCAGUUUUGAUGUUUGAAAUAUUUGUUGAUGUCUGCAUCUCGUAAGAUAUCGGAAGCCGUCUGACUUGGCCAAAUCGCUCGGAAGUCCGAAGUACUAGAAAAAACCGCCAUCUGCUACCUUAAGGUAGCAGUUGGUAGUUUCCAGCCACAGAUUCGAAUUGGCCAGGGUCAAAAUCUGUCAUUAGAGAUAAGACCUUGAAGUGAAGGCAGUUUUGAUGUUUGAAAUAUUUGUUGAUGUGAGUUUGUGAUUAACAAGUUUAAGAAUGGUAUGUUGCAGAAAUUCUGGCAGAUGCGAAUGUAAGCUUGAUGGCAUCAUUUUCAUAUAACUGCUUGAAAUGCAUAUAUGCCACUAUCAGCAUUGAGCGUCUCGUGAACUGUCAAAUGUCAUAUAGGCCUCACACAGUUGAAAAUAGUGAAAAAAGUAAUCGGUUGACAGGUAUUUUUGUCCAGCUCUGCAAGUAAUACUUGAAACUGAGUACAGAAUGCAAGUGGCCAUUUGUCUCUAUCCAUUCCCCUAACAUUUUAAGGCCAGUUGGAGAUAUGGCUAAUUUGGGCUGAAAUGUCAUGUAUUUUCGCGGGCUGAAAUUAUCUUUCAGGUGGCUUGUGGAUUUAAAAAUCUAGGCUUUGUAUGAAGUUUACUAUGUAUUUU